rfam:Spirochaetes bacterium RBG_13_68_11 RBG_13_scaffold_5814, whole genome shotgun sequence.
GGUCCCGUGGAAUGAUUUGCGGCGUAUUGCAACCACGUUAAACAAGUGCUAAAAAACCAGCC